rnacentral:rRNA from 1 species
CAGUAGCCGCGGUAAUACGUAGGGUGCGAGCGUUAAUCGGAAUUACUGGGCGUAAAGCGUGCGCAGGCGGUUCGUUAAGACAGAUGUGAAAUCCCCGGGCUUAACCUGGGAACUGCAUUUGUGACUGGCGAGCUAGAGUAUGGCAGAGGGGGGUAGAAUUCCACGUGUAGCAGUGAAAUGCGUAGAGAUGUGGAGGAAUACCGAUGGCGAAGGCAGCCCCCUGGGCCAAUACUGACGCUCAUGCACGAAAGCGUGGGAGCAAAUGGGAUUAGAUACCCGUGUAGUCCCUGUCUCUUAUACA